rnacentral:rRNA from 2 species
GAUGAGAAGCUUGCUUCUCUGAUGUUAGCGGCGGACGGGUGAGUAACACGUGGGUAACCUACCUAUAAGACUGGGAUAACUCCGGGAAACCGGGGCUAAUACCGGAUAAUAUUUUGAACCGCAUGGUUCAAUAGUGAAAGACGGUUUCGGCUGUCACUUAUAGAUGGACCCGCGCCGUAUUAGCUAGUUGGUAAGGUAACGGCUUACCAAGGCGACGAUACGUAGCCGACCUGAGAGGGUGAUCGGCCACACUGGAACUGAGACACGGUCCAGACUCCUACGGGAGGCAGCAGUAGGGAAUCUUCCGCAAUGGGCGAAAGCCUGACGGAGCAACGCCGCGUGAGUGAUGAAGGUCUUCGGAUCGUAAAACUCUGUUGUUAGGGAAGAACAAAUUUGUUAGUAACUGAACAAGUCUUGACGGUACCUAACCAGAAAGCCACGGCUAACUACGUGCCAGCAGCCGCGGUAAUACGUAGGUGGCAAGCGUUAUCCGGAAUUAUUGGGCGUAAAGCGCGCGUAGGCGGUUUCUUAAGUCUGAUGUGAAAGCCCACGGCUCAACCGUGGAGGGUCAUUGGAAACUGGGAAACUUGAGUGCAGAAGAGGAGAGUGGAAUUCCAUGUGUAGCGGUGAAAUGCGCAGAGAUAUGGAGGAACACCAGUGGCGAAGGCGGCUCUCUGGUCUGUAACUGACGCUGAUGUGCGAAAGCGUGGGGAUCAAACAGGAUUAGAUACCCUGGUAGUCCACGCCGUAAACGAUGAGUGCUAAGUGUUAGGGGGUUUCCGCCCCUUAGUGCUGCAGCUAACGCAUUAAGCACUCCGCCUGGGGAGUACGACCGCAAGGUUGAAACUCAAAGGAAUUGACGGGGACCCGCACAAGCGGUGGAGCAUGUGGUUUAAUUCGAAGCAACGCGAAGAACCUUACCAAAUCUUGACAUCCUUUGACCGCUCUAGAGAUAGAGUCUUCCCCUUCGGGGGACAAAGUGACAGGUGGUGCAUGGUUGUCGUCAGCUCGUGUCGUGAGAUGUUGGGUUAAGUCCCGCAACGAGCGCAACCCUUAAGCUUAGUUGCCAUCAUUAAGUUGGGCACUCUAGGUUGACUGCCGGUGACAAACCGGAGGAAGGUGGGGAUGACGUCAAAUCAUCAUGCCCCUUAUGAUUUGGGCUACACACGUGCUACAAUGGAUAAUACAAAGGGCAGCGAAUCCGCGAGGCCAAGCAAAUCCCAUAAAAUUAUUCUCAGUUCGGAUUGUAGUCUGCAACUCGACUACAUGAAGCUGGAAUCGCUAGUAAUCGUAGAUCAGCAUGCUACGGUGAAUACGUUCCCGGGUCUUGUACACACCGCCCGUCACACCACGAGAGUUUGUAACACCCGAAGCCGGUGGAGUAACCUUUUAGGAGCUAGCCGUCGAAG